rnacentral:tRNA from 1 species
GCUCUUAUAACAAACAAAAGUAUAGUGCCGAACACUAAAAUGAACUCUAAAAAGUUCUAAGGACA